rnacentral:rRNA from 1 species
GAUGAACGCUGGCGGCGUGCCUAAUACAUGCAAGUCGAGCGAACGGACGAGAAGCUUGCUUCUCUGAUGUUAGCGGCGGACGGGUGAGUAACACGUGGAUAACCUACCUAUAAGACUGGGAUAACUUCGGGAAACCGGAGCUAAUACCGGAUAAUAUUUUGAACCGCAUGGUUCAAAAGUGAAAGACGGUCUUGCUGUCACUUAUAGAUGGAUCCGCGCUGCAUUAGCUAGUUGGUAAGGUAACGGCUUACCAAGGCAACGAUGCAUAGCCGACCUGAGAGGGUGAUCGGCCACACUGGAACGUAGACACGGUCCAGACUCCUACGGGAGGCAGCAGUAGGGAAUCUUCCGCAAAGGGCGAAAGCCUGACGGAGCAACGCCGCGUGAGUGAUGAAGGUCUUCGGAUCGUAAAACUCCGUUAUUAGGGAAGAACAUAUGUGUAAGUAACUGUGCACAUCUUGACGGUACCUAAUCAGAAAGCCACGGCUAACUACGUG